AGGCGCUCAAAGGUUCCCUCAGAAUGGUUGGAAAUCAUUCAUAGAGUGUAAAGGCAUAAGGGAGCUUGACUGCGAGACCUACAAGUCGAGCAGGGUCGAAAGACGGACUUAGUGAUCCGGUGGUUCCGCAUGGAAGGGCCAUCGCUCAACGGAGAAAAGCUACCCCGGGGAUAACAGGCGUAUCUCCCCCAAGAGUUCACAUCGACGGGGAGGUUUGGCACCUCGAUGUCGGCUCAUCGCAUCCUGGGGCUGUAGUCGGUCCCAAGGGUUGGGCUGUUCGCCCAUUAAAGCGGUACGCGAGCUGGGUUCAGAACGUCGUGAGACAGUUCGGUCCCUAUCCGUCGUGGGCGUAGGAAAUUUGAGAGGAGCUGUCCUUAGUACGAGAGGACCGGGAUGGACAUACCUCUGGUGUACCAGUUGUCGUGCCAACGGCAUAGCUGGGUAGCUAUGUGUGGACGGGAUAAGUGCUGAAAGCAUCUAAGCAUGAAGCCCCCCUCAAGAUGAGAUUUCCCAACUUCGGUUAUAAGAUCCCUCAAAGAUGAUGAGGUUAAUAGGUUCGAUGUG
rnacentral:rRNA from 1 species